AGACCCGAAACCCGGUGAUCUAGCCAUGGGCAGGUUGAAGGUUGGGUAACACUAACUGGAGGACCGAACCGACUAAUGUUGAAAAAUUAGCGGAUGACCUGUGGCUGGGGGUGAAAGGCCAAUCAAACCGGGAGAUAGCUGGUUCUCCCCGAAAGCUAUUUAGGUAGCGCCUCGUGAAUUCAUCUCCGGGGGUAGAGCACUGUUUCGGCUAGGGGGCCAUCCCGGCUUACCAACCCGAUGCAAACUGCGAAUACCGGAGAAUGUUAUCACGGGAGACACACGGCGGGUGCUAACGUCCGUCGUGAAGAGGGAAACAACCCAGACCGCCAGCUAAGGUCCCAAAGUCAUGGUUAAGUGGGAAACGAUGUGGGAAGGCCCAGACAGCCAGGAUGUUGGCUUAGAAGCAGCCAUCAUUUAAAGAAAGCGUAAUAGCUCACUGGUCGAGUCGGCCUGCGCGGAAGAUGUAACGGGGCUAAACCAUGCACCGAAGCUGCGGCAGCGAACGUAUCACCCAAGACAACUUUACGGAGUUGACGAUUGACGGAGCGAAGCGACGUCAAAGCGUUCAUUAAAGUCGAGUUGGCUUAGGGAUACGUUCGUUGGGUAGGGGAGCGUUCUGUAAGCCUGUGAAGGUGUGUCGUGAGGCAUGCUGGAGGUAUCAGAAGUGCGAAUGCUGACAUAAGUAACGAUAAAGCGGGUGAAAAGCCCGCUCGCCGGAAGACCAAGGGUUCCUGUCCAACGUUAAUCGGGGCAGGGUGAGUCGACCCCUAAGGCGAGGCCGAAAGGCGUAGUCGAUGGGAAACGGGUUAAUAUUCCCGUACUUGGUGUUACUGCGAAGGGGGGACGGAGAAGGCUAUGUUGGCCGGGCGACGGUUGUCCCGGUUUAAGCGUGUAGGUGUGUGUUCCAGGUAAAUCCGGUUCACUUUAACACUGAGGCGUGAUGACGAGGCACUACGGUGCUGAAGCAACAAAUGCCCUGCUUCCAGGAAAAGCCUCUAAGCAUCAGGUAACACGAAAUCGUACCCCAAACCGACACAGGUGGUCAGGUAGAGAAUACCAAGGCGCUUGAGAGAACUCGGGUGAAGGAACUAGGCAAAAUGGUGCCGUAACUUCGGGAGAAGGCACGCUGACACGUAGGUGAAGUGAUUUACUCACGGAGCUGAAGUCAGUCGAAGAUACCAGCUGGCUGCAACUGUUUAUUAAAAACACAGCACUGUGCAAACACGAAAGUGGACGUAUACGGUGUGACGCCUGCCCGGUGCCGGAAGGUUAAUUGAUGGGGUCAGCG
rnacentral:rRNA from 1 species